rnacentral:rRNA from 1 species
UGGGGAAUUUUGCACAAUGGGGGAAACCCUGAUCCAGCGACGCCGCGUGAUUUAGAAGGCCUUCGGGUUGUAAAAAUCUUUUCUAUGGGAAGAAAAUGACAGUACCAUAGGAAUAAGGACCGGCUAAUUACGUGCCAGCAGCCGCGGUAAUACGUAAGGUCCGAGCGUUGUCCGGAAUCAUUGGGCGUAAAGGGUACGUAGGCGGGUAAGCAAGUUAGAAGUGAAAUCCUAUAGCUCAACUAUAGUAAGCUUUUAAAACUGCUCAUCUUGAGGUAUGGAAGGGAAAGUGGAAUUCCUAGUGUAGCGGUGAAAUGCGCAGAUAUUAGGAGGAAUACCGGUGGCGAAGGCGACUUUCUGGCCAUAACCUGACGCUGAGGUACGAAAGCGUGGGUAGCAAACAGG